UACAGAGGUGGCAAGCGUUGUUCGGAAUUACUGGGCGUAAAGGGCGCGUAGGCGGUCCGAUAAGUCCUGUGUGAAAUCCCUCGGCUCAACUGAGGAACUGCACGGGAGACUGUCGGGCUUGAGUUCGGGAGAGGGAAGCGGAAUUCCGGGUGUAGCGGUGAAAUGCGUAGAUAUCCGGAGGAACACCGGUGGCGAAGGCGGCUUCCUGGACCGACACUGACGCUCAUGCACGAAAGCGUGGGGAGCAAACAGG
rnacentral:rRNA from 1 species